rnacentral:rRNA from 1 species
GAUGAACGCUGGCGGCGUGCCUAAUACAUGCAAGUCGAGCGAACGGACGAGAAGCUUGCUUCUCUGAUGUUAGCGGCGGACGGGUGAGUAACACGUGGAUAACCUACCUAUAAGACUGGGAUAACUUCGGGAAACCGGAGCUAAUACCGGAUGAUAUUUUGAACCGCAUGGUUAAAAAGUGAAAGACGGUCUUGCUGUCACUUAUAGAUGGAUCCGCGCUGCAUUAGCUAGUUGGUAAUGUAACGGCUUACCAAGGCAACGAUGCAUAGCCGACCUGAGAGGGUGAUCGGCCACACUGGAACUGAGACACGGUCCAGACUCCUACGGGAGGCAGCAGUAGGGAAUCUUCCGCAAAGGGCGAAAGCCUGACGGAGCAACGCCGCGUGAGUGAUGAAGGUCUUCGGAUCGUAAAACUCUGUUAUUAGGGAAGAACAUAUGUGUAAGUAACUGUGCACAUCUUGACGGUACCUAAUCAGAAAGCCACGGCUAACUACGUG